ensembl:snRNA U6 U6 spliceosomal RNA
GUGCUCGCUUUGGAAGCACAUACACUAAAAUUGGAAUGAUACGGAGAGGAACAUGGCCCUGUGCACGGAUGACACGGAAAUUCAUGAAGGAAGUUCUUCUUUA